GCGAGAUAGCUCAGUUGGUAGAGCAACGGACUGAAAAUCCGUGUGUCCCCAGUUCGAUUCUGGGUCUCGC
rnacentral:tRNA from 1 species